AUGGCGAUGAUCCUAGACGCCUUUGCAUACUAUGUGCAAAAUAUGCUCACGGAGAUGGUCAAGGAGGAAGUGCACAUGCUGCUUGGAGUCAGAGAUGAUAUCGACAAGAUGGAUGUUAAGCUUGGGGAUCUCAAGAACUUCCUUGCCGAUGCUGACAGAAGGAACAUCACAGACAAGACCGUGCAAGAGUGGGUGGGCCAGCUCAAGCGCGCCAUGUACGAAGCUGCCGACAUACUCGACGUCUGUCAGCUCAAGGCCAUGGAGCGUGGUUCAUCCACUGUGGAUGUCGGGUGCUUCAAUCCCUUGCUCUUUUGCAUGCGGAAUCCCUCCCAUGCCCACGACAUCGCCACCCGCAUCAAGGCUCUGAACAAGAGGCUCGACACCAUCAAGGAGCGAAGCGCUGCUUUCAGCUUCAUCAAUCUUGGUUCAUACGAGGACCGUAGCAGCAAGGUGCACGCUUCUCAUUCUGGAAAUACCAGCCGUGAGAUAUCAGGGGAGUUCGAUCGGUCGGGUAUAGUCGGGGAGAAGAUCGAAGAAGACACAAGAAAGCUGGUUGAGAUCAUGUUGACUGAAAAAGAGGGCAACGCCAACAUCAUGGUGGUUGCCAUUGUUGGUGUCGGCGGCAUAGGACUUCGACAGGGUUGA
rnacentral:rRNA from 1 species